AGGACGAACGCUGGCGGCGUGCUUAACACAUGCAAGUCGAGCGGAAAGGCCCUUCGGGGUACUCGAGCGGCGAACGGGUGAGUAACACGUGAGUAAUCUGCCCCUAGCUCUGGGAUAGCUCCGGGAAACCGGGAUUAAUACCGGAUAAGACCACUUUAGACAUCUGCCGUGGUGGAAAGAAUUUCGGCUAGGGAUGUGCUCGCGGCCUAUCAGCUUGUUGGUGAGGUAACGGCUCACCAAGGCGACGACGGGUAGCCGGCCUGAGAGGGCGACCGGCCACACUGGGACUGAGACACGGCCCAGACUCCUACGGGAGGCAGCAGUGGGGAAUAUUGCGCAAUGGGCGAAAGCCUGACGCAGCGACGCCGCGUGGGGGAUGAAGGCCUUCGGGUUGUAACCCCUUUCAGCAGGGACGAAGCGAAAGUGACGGUACCUGCAGAAGAAGCGCCGGCUAACUACGCGCCAGCAGCCGC
rnacentral:rRNA from 1 species